CAACGGGUCCUGUGCGACAGGAUACCGCGAACCAUGUCAGGCGGGGAACCGAGCAGCAUUAAGCGGAAAUACUGUGCGACACAGUCAAAGCCUGCUGCUG
rnacentral:SRP_RNA from 1 species